rnacentral:misc_RNA from 1 species
UAAUAAGUGUUUUUAUGGCACUUUUUAAAUCCAUAUCCACCUUGUGUGCAAUGUCAGUCGAUCUUCUUCAUGGAGAUCGACCAAACAUCAACCUUUAUCUUUUAACAUCUUUGUCUGAAAAAUAUUAUGAAUAAACAAUUCAAAAUA